UACAGAGGGGGCAAGCGUUAUUCGGAAUUAUUGGGCGUAAAGGGCGCGUAGGCGCCUGGCAAGUGGAUGGUGAAAUCCCUCGGCUUAACCGAGGAACUGCCAUCCAGACUGCUUGGCUUGAGACCGGGAGAGGUGAGUGGAAUUCCCAGUGUAGCGGUGAAAUGCGUAGAUAUUGGGAGGAACACCAGUGGCGAAGGCGGCUCACUGGACCGGUACUGACGCUGAGGCGCGAAAGCGGUGGGGAGCAAACGGG
rnacentral:rRNA from 1 species